GAUGAACGCUGGCUACAGGCUUAACACAUGCAAGUCGAGGGGAAACGACGGGGAAGCUUGCUUCCCCGGGCGUCGACCGGCGCACGGGUGAGUAACGCGUAUCCAACCUGCCUCUGACUGAGGGAUAACCCGUCGAAAGUCGGCCUAAUACCUCAUGGCAUCGUCUGCGGGCAUCCAACGACGAUUAAAGAUUUCAUCGGUCAGGGAUGGGGAUGCGUCUGAUUAGCUUGUUGGCGGGGUAACGGCCCACCAAGGCUACGAUCAGUAGGGGUUCUGAGAGGAAGGUCCCCCACAUUGGAACUGAGACACGGUCCAAACUCCUACGGGAGGCAGCAGUGAGGAGUAUAGGUCAAUGGGCGUGAGCCUGAACCAGCCAGGUAGCGUGCAGGAUGCCGGCCCUGUGGGUUGUAAACUGCUUUUAUGCGGGGUAAAGUGAGGGACGUGUCCUUCAUUGCAGGUACCGCAUGAAUAAGGACCGGCUAAUUCCGUG
rnacentral:rRNA from 1 species